GGGUCAGUAGGUUGGUCGUGCCACCGGUACGUACUGGUCUCACUGAUUCCUCCUUCCUGAAGAACCGUAAUGCCAUUAAUUUGGUGUUGCGGGGAAACAGGACUGUUACUUUUAAAAUAUUAGAGUGUUUAAAGCAGGCUAACGCUUGAAUACAUUAGCAUGGAAUAAUGAAAUAGGACGAUCGAUCCUAUUUUGUUGGUUUCUAGGAUUGACGUA
rnacentral:rRNA from 1 species